UCAGUGGGAAGUCCCGCUGAUCGCCUUAGCUACCGGAAAGCGAAAACGAUGACGUAUGCUAGUGGAACAGGGAGCUGCACUGGUUGGAAGAAACUAAGGCUGCCGGAAGAAGCACAUCGGAAUUAUUCUUCAGAACUACAAGCAAGAAAGUGGGGAGAACUGGGCCAGUCCAAGGCCGUCUGGAGAAAUGUCCUGCAGAUAUCACUGGGUAUUCUUGCACAUCUCGAUCUUAAUAUGUCCUAAACUGAAUCCAUCAUCCCCCUGGCUCCCAGUGAACCUUCUGCCUCUUGUACCUUGUUUCACUUGAAGAUGCCAUUCUUCUCCCAGUUACUGAGUCUAUAAAGUCGGAAGUUAUCCUUGGCUCCUCCUUAUUUCUAACCCCUCCACCUUGAAGGUGACAAUCACUUGGUCUUGUUAAUUUGUUACUCUAAAUAUUUCUGAAUUUCAUCUACUUGCUUAGUUCAGGCACUCAUCCUCUGAUUGGAUUCCUGCAACAGUCUCUCGAAUGAUUGCUUUGCCCAAAUUUUGCCUGGUCCAAAAAUCACAUUGGUUGCUGGAUAGAUUUCUCUAAAUCACAUAUCUGACCCUACUAUUCUCUUGCUUAAAACCCUACAUAAUUUUUCCAUCAUUCACAGGAUACAGUAGGGGCCCCUGUGCUACUCAUGGGCCUCAAUGAUCUACAGACCUCAAUCCUCCAGUAAUGAACCACCGUCCUUCUCAGCCCACAUGUGCUGUUUGUUGUUUCGGUGCCCUUUUGCAUGCCUUCCUCUCUGCCAAGAACAGCCUCUUCACCUCCCUUCCUUUCCCAGGAGCUGCCAUGUGUGCUUCAAGACUUUGAAGAAGCCUUCCAUUGACCUCCUUUCUCCUCAAGGUGGCAAAACCAAAAAUCAAACCAACAAGUAAACAAAAGCGGUGGCAGAAAGGAAAAGUAACCACAGAAGAGAGGAGAAUAGGUUUAGACCGUGAGUUUGAAGACUUAGAGACAAACUUCCCACAGAAAAGAUCCUGACCUGAAAAGAAAAAUCCAGGCAGAGGAAGAUUAUUCAGCAGGAGGGCCUCAGUGGAGGGUGGGUGAUCCCUUUAGAAGGAGGGCCUCAGUGGAGGGUGGGUGAUCCCUUUAGAAGGAGGGCCUCAGUGGAGGGUGGGUGAUCCCUUUAGAAAGAGUCAAACUGUCUCAGCGAGUUCUUGAGAACAACUUCAAUAUUAGCAAAUGAGGUACCAAAUAUAAAGGUGCAUUUUCAGAUUUUUAAAAAUUCACAAAAAUGGCCGAGUGCAGUGGCUCACGCCUGUAAUCCCAGCACUUUAGGAGGCUGAGACGGGCGGAUCACGAGGUCAGGAGAUCGAGACCAUCCUGGCUAACACGGUGAAACUCCGUCUCUACUAAAAAAAAUUACAAAGAAAAUUAGCUGGGAGUGGUGGUGGACGCCUGUAGUCCCAGCUACUGGGGAGGCUGAGGCAGGAGAAUGGCGUGAACCCGGGAGGCAGAGCUUGCGGUGAGCCGAGAUCGCGCCACUGCACUCCAGCCUGGGCGUCUGAGCGAGACUCCGUCUCAAAAACAAAAAAAAUUGACAAAAAUGUUGGCUUUUAGCUUUGAAACCAAAACUAUUUCUUCUGUGAUAACAAUAAGCUCAGAAAUUGUUUGUUCAAGAGAUAAAAAGUAGAAAACAAAACGGAUGUAUGUAAUUAUAAUCUUCUCAAUUAUUAUCGGCAUAAACAACCUAAGAUAAGAGUUAAUGUCACUGCCUUUUUUCUCCUUCUAGAAGAAUAAGCUAACUAAAUCUUAAGGAAAGCUAGAUUGCUAGAUCCUUUUUCAGCCCCCAGUUCCUGUUUAGGGAGUAUCAUUGCUUCUUAAACUGAAAACUACUAAGCAAACAACCAGUUGGUUAUAGGAAUGUCUCUGCUUGUUUUAUGUUGAAAUUUUAUUCCUUUUUUUUUUUUUUUUUUUUUGAGACAGAGUCUCACUGUGUCACCCAUGCUAGAGUGCAGUGGCAUGAUCAUAGCUCACUGCAGUCUCCCAUGGUCAAGCGAUCAUUCUACCUUAGCCUGCUGAGUACUGGGACUACAGGUGUACACCACCAAGCCUGGCUAAUUUAAAACAUUUUUGAAGACAUGGAGUCUUGCCAUGUUGCACAGGCUAGUCUCAAACUCCUGGGCUCAAGCAAUCCUCCCGCUUUAGCCUCCCAAAAUGCUGGGAUUACUAUUUUUAAAUUUGAAAGAGCUAUAUUGAGGUAUAAUUGAUGUACCUUAAGCUGCACAUAUUUAAAAUGUACAAUUUAUUAAGUUUUGACACCCAUCACCACAAUCGAGAUAAUAAACAUAUAUAUCACCCCCAAAA